CUGCGCCCAAAUUCUAUUAUUUAUUUUUUUGCAAUUUACAUUUUGCAAAGGUUUUUAUUUUGCACCAGGGUGCGGGAACUGACACAUUGCACCGUCGGGCGGCUGGAGUUGACUUUAGUUUAGGCGCGCGGUUAGUCCUGUCAGUGCGGGCGGGACGAGGCAAUAAUGUCUCUUGACACAAAACAACUAAAUGCACCGAGCUUUCAAGAGACGCGUUUUUCAAAUGACGGAGUGGGGAAUAAAGAGAGAUUCUAAUUUUCUGGCGAAUGCACCUUUUUAGUUGAUGUUACAACGCGACAGGUUCCUCCCAUCAGCUCCUUCCUUCCUUCCUUCCUUCGCUGACUCUAAAACGAAUUGCAAAUGAAUGUCUUUAAACAAAAAAUUCUGCCGGCCGCUCACUCCUGGAUAUCAUUAGGAAGCCGGUUGUGCUAUCUGGUGCGUCAGGCAGAAAAGUGAAUGCAAUGCAAAACCACAUUGAAACGCCGCAGUUUGUGUACACCAAGAUGAACAAACUUUGUUGGACGAGCAGCUACAACAAUGAGGAGAUCAAUUGCUGGACUCAAUAGCAACGCAGGGAGGACUUAUCCAGCCCACAGAUUGUUGACUUGGGGUUGCAACAGCAGCAGUGGUUUGGAAGCUGCACUGGCUGAAAACAACAUGAUUCCGACUGAUGAAGAUGCUGGAAAUCUGAACGAGAACAAGAAUGCAUUUGCAUGUAAAUAUUCAUCAGGUGAGGUCAGACCAUGGCAUCGGAUGGAGAGAUUUGCCGAUUUUGGGUGAUGACAUUUCUCCCAUUCUUCCCCACAGAUGGUGUAUGACCCACAGUGAUUUUAGCUUGUAUUAUUUUUAUUAAAAGGGCUUGAACUUGUUAGUGCUCAUGCAGGUUUGAAUGGUAUGCACAAGACCCUCCAGCCUCAAUGUACACUGGUGGAAAAGUUAAAAAAAUAUAUAUAUAUUAUGAUAUACUGAUAAAUAUAUAUGUCUAAUAAUAUUUAUUUCAAAAAGACACAGGGAACUGCAGAUGCCGGAAUCUGCAAAGCAAAACACAAAGUGCUGGAGGAACUCAGUAGAUCAGGCAGCAACUGUGAAGGGAAUGGACAUUCGUUAUUUUGUGUUGAGACUCUUCUUCUGACUGGUAGGAAUGUUUAAGAAACAUUUAGACUGGUUCAUGGACAGGAAAGGUUUAGAAGGAUAUGGGCUAAACGCAGGCAGAUGAGACUAGUGUACAUGGGACUUGUUGGACAGUGUGGGCAAGUUGGGCUGAAGGGCCUGUUUCCAUGCUGUAAGACUCUAUAACUAGUGGUUCAAAUUUGAUUAUACACUGACCUAUGUACUACUGCACUGCCCACAGUGAAUUGUUGGUGUUGAGGUGUUUUGAUGUGGUGCUUAUUUUCUGUCUAAUUAAUUGGGAACUAGCUUGUGAGUAAAGUUACUGAAAAAAAUAAAUGUGUGUGUGGGAAAUAAGUGAGAAGAGUAACUCCAACAGGGUAAGUAUUUUGUCCAUUCUGGUGAUUUACGGGAUAGUUGCAGUGGAGUUUGGAAAGGAGGACUGUAAAGUGUCAGAGUGCUUUAGACACAAUACAGGGACAUCUAUGGCAUGGAAACAUGUGGGACGGUGUUGCGGAUAUAACAUCCAGAGUAAGUUUCUUGAGUGAGCUAAUGAACGGAUCUGUGUAGAGAACAGUACACAAAAAUGUCUCUGUGUCAUAAAUAGAAAGUGCAUAAAUAAGCAAAGCCAAUAUGUUUUCAUUUACUCAGUCCAGAAGGGUUCAAAUCUAUAUUUACCUUCUAUGUUCCAAUAUUGGUUUCCUGACUUUGUGCUGCCAGGCCUUCUCUAACUCUGGCAGGAGAGGUUGAGGGGAAGGGUGGGUUUACAAACACAACCUGGAGAACAUACUGUGUAUAGCCACACUUGCUGUCAAUCUGGAAACAUAUACUGGGAGAUUUGGCAGAGUUGUCUGCUAGAAAUGAACAAAAAUAGAACAAUUGGUGUGAGAAUCAGGCUGAACUCAGAGUAUAGGGUUCCAAAAGAAUGCUUUCUUAAAGGUAUGAAUUAUUAGAUUGGAUUUUAAAUGUCUCUCAACCAGGGCCAGAUUUAUGUAUAAGCUUCACAAGCUUAAGCUUAGGGCCUCGAGAUCUAGGGGGGCCUCGGCAGGGCCGGAUUUACCUACAGGCCUCAAAGGUUGAAGCCGAGGGCCUCAAAAUGUUUUUUUCCCCAGAGUAAAAAAAAUCCUGAGAAAAAAAAAUUGGAGCGCUAUCAGCGUUUCCACUUUGACGGAAAUUCCCUGAAAUCCUGGUUCCGGCCGCUGGAAAUUUUGGGGAAAAAAAUUGCGACCUGCACAGUUGGGGGAAGCCGGUGACGCAGUAGCAACGCAAAAUUACGCUGUCUCUCUGCGUGUGCGCAGUGGGCCCGGACAGGUUCAGAUCUCCAUUUGCACUCGACACAAUCACCUCGAUGCCUCGUGUCUACUCCAGGUAAGUAG